rnacentral:rRNA from 1 species
GGCUCAGGACGAACGCUGGCGGCGUGCCUAAUACAUGCAAGUCGAGCGGACAGAUGGGAGCUUGCUCCCUGAUGUUAGCGGCGGACGGGUGAGUAACACGUGGGUAACCUGCCUGUAAGACUGGGAUAACUCCGGGAAACCGGGGCUAAUACCGGAUGGUUGUUUGAACCGCAUGGUUCAGACAUAAAAGGUGGCUUCGGCUACCACUUACAGAUGGACCCGCGGCGCAUUAGCUAGUUGGUGAGGUAACGGCUCACCAAGGCGACGAUGCGUAGCCGACCUGAGAGGGUGAUCGGCCACACUGGGACUGAGACACGGCCCAGACUCCUACGGGAGGCAGCAGUAGGGAAUCUUCCGCAAUGGACGAAAGUCUGACGGAGCAACGCCGCGUGAGUGAUGAAGGUUUUCGGAUCGUAAAGCUCUGUUGUUAGGGAAGAACAAGUGCCGUUCAAAUAGGGCGGCACCUUGACGGUACCUAACCAGAAGGCCACGGCUAACUACGUGCCAGCAGCCGCGGUAAUACGUAGGUGGCAAGCGUUGUCCGGAAUUAUUGGGCGUAAAGGGCUCGCAGGCGGUUUCUUAAGUCUGAUGUGAAAGCCCCCGGCUCAACCGGGGAGGGUCAUUGGAAACUGGGGAACUUGAGUGCAGAAGAGGAGAGUGGAAUUCCACGUGUAGCGGUGAAAUGCGUAGAGAUGUGGAGGAACACCAGUGGCGAAGGCGACUCUCUGGUCUGUAACUGACGCUGAGGAGCGAAAAGCGUGGGGAGCGAACAGGAUUAGAUACCCUGGUAGUCCACGCCGUAAACGAUGAGUGCUAAGUGUUAGGGGGUUUCCGCCCCUUAGUGCUGCAGCUAACGCAUUAAGCACUCCGCCUGGGGAGUACGGUCGCAAGACUGAAACUCAAAGGAAUUGACGGGGGCCCGCACAAGCGGUGGAGCAUGUGGUUUAAUUCGAAGCAACGCGAAGAACCUUACCAGGUCUUGACAUCCUCUGACAAUCCUAGAGAUAGGACGUCCCCUUCGGGGGCAGAGUGACAGGUGGUGCAUGGUUUGUCGUCAGCUCGUGUCGUGAGAUGUUGGGGUUAAGUCCCGCAACGAGCGCAACCCUUGAUCUUAGUUGCCAGCAUUCAGUUGGGCACUCUAAGGUGACUGCCGGUGACAAACCGGAGGAAGGUGGGGAUGACGUCAAAUCAUCAUGCCCCUUAUGACCUGGGCUACACACGUGCUACAAUGGACAGAACAAAGGGCAGCGAAACCGCGAGGUUAAGCCAAUCCCACAAAUCUGUUCUCAGUUCGGAUCGCAGUCUGCAACUCGACUGCGUGAAGCUGGAAUCGCUAGUAAUCGCGGAUCAGCAUGCCCGCGGUGAAUACGUUCCCGGGCCUUGUACACACCGCCCGUCACACCACGAGAGUUUGUAACACCCGAAGUC